rnacentral:rRNA from 1 species
GGGGGAAGUGUGGGUGCAAAGCUGAAACUUAAAGGAAUUGACGGAGGGGCCCCCCCAGGAGGGGAGCCCGCGGUUUAUUUUGACUAAACACGGAAAAACUCCCCCGGCCCACACACCGAAGAGAUAGACAGAGAGAGCGCUCUUUCUUUAUUGGGUGGGGGGGGGUGCAUGCCCUUUCUUAGUGGGGGGAGCGAUUUGUCUGGUUAUUUCCCAUAACGAAAGACACUCUGGCCUAUUAAAUAGACGAUAAAUUUAAAAGUUUAUCGCACUUUUCAGAGAGACAAACGGCCUCUCCCCGCACGAAAUAGAAAAAUAACAAGUGUGUGAUGCCCUUAUAUGUCCGGG